rnacentral:rRNA from 1 species
UACGUAGGGAGCUAGCGUUGUCCGGAAUCAUUGGGCGUAAAGCGCACGUAGGCGGCCCGGUAAGUCCGCUGUGAAAGUCGGGGGCUCAACCCUCGGAUGCCGGUGGAAACUGUCGGGCUUGAGUACGGAAGAGGCGAGUGGAAUUCCUGGUGUAGCGGUGAAAUGCGCAGAUAUCAGGAGGAACACCAAUUGCGAAGGCAGCUCGCUGGGACGUUACUGACGCUGAUGUGCGAAAGCGUGGGGAGCAAACAGG